rnacentral:rRNA from 1 species
UGGUGGAGUGAUUUGUCAGGUUAAUUCCCUUAACGAACGAGACCUUGACCUACUAAAUAGAAGUCGGUACUUCUACCGAUCAUCUUCUUAGAGGGACUACGGUCUAAAAACCGUGGAAGUUCGAGGCAAUAACA